rnacentral:rRNA from 1 species
UACGAAGGGGGCUAGCGUUGCUCGGAAUCAUUGGGCGUAAAGCGCACGUAGGCGGCUUUGCAAGUCGGAUGUGAAAUCCCUCGGCUCAACCAAGGAAGUGCAUCCGAAACUGCAGAGCUUGAGUACUUAAGAGGAUCGCGGAAUUCCCGGUGUAGAGGUGAAAUUCGUAGAUAUCGGGAGGAACACCAGUGGCGAAGGCGGCGAUCUGGGAAGAUACUGACGCUGAGGUGCGAAAGCGUGGGGAGCAAACAGG